AGCCCAGCCUCAGGUACAAUAACGCAUGC
rnacentral:piRNA from 1 species